GCCUUGUUAAAAGGAAGGGAGUGCUCUGGAAUGUUUCAAAAUGGUUCCUUUUCCCUCUUGCCGGGAGGCUGAGGGGAUUUCUCUUUCAUAUUUACUGUGGGAGUUUAGUCAAGCUCCUGGUGGUAAAUCUCACAGUAUUAAUGACAAAGUCUUCCUUGAGUGUUUAUUUCACUAGUUAUCUGAACAAUUAAAGUUCAAAUUUUCCUACCCAGUGGAGGUUCCUGUGGAGGUUUCUGCUGUGAUUCUCUGUCUGGUGCAUCAUUAACCUGUACAACAAAAAGAAGAAAAGAAAAAAGGUUUCUCUCUGUGGAUGCAGCCCAAGAGGAUUUGGUGAACAGUGACAUCAAAAUGGGGCACAUCUGAAAGGGGAAAGAGUGAGCUGAAUGGGUCCAUUAAUUUAAUUGAAGCAAGCUCAGACAAGAGAUAAAACAUCCCAGCCGGCUUCUUUUCAUGCAUCAUGAGUGCUGUAGUAAACAGGCAGAGAUCCAAACACACCAAAAAGAAAUAAAGGUACGUGGAGACUCUAGAGACUUCAAGGCCAUGUAAUAUCAACAGAUGCAGAGGUGAAUACACCCAGAAGAGGCCCUCUCUUCAUAUACCACCAUGUCACUGUUCUGCGGUCACUGUCUAGGCUUUAUUGUGAAACUCUGAACGACUCUGAGGUUACAUGUAAGUAAUUUAGACUUCCUAAGGCAAAGUUGCGUUUGUUCUUUUUUUUGUUUGUUUUUUUCAAACUUCUGAGAAAUAGACUCCAUCUCCUGUUCUUGAAGAGAUGGAACAGGGGAAAUGGACUUCCACUGAUCUUAGAAGCAGCUUUAAAUGAUGUUGCUCUCUUUCAGCUAUCUGUUUUUGAAAUGUAGCAGUCAGAAAAUUCUUUUAGUCCUGAAGAGGUUGGGGCCUCUCAGUGCACUCAGCAUUUGUCUUUCAGUGGUCAGUGUGAUUGUACACAGCCUAUUAUUCAAUCCCUGGCUGCGCCCAAGAACAGAAAACAACCAAGCAGAGUCUCCCAGUGAACAUAAAGUCUGUCCAUGGCAAGUUAUUUCAUCUGAUAAAAAACAAUUUAGUAUAUUUAAUCAAAAUUAUAUUACAUUCAGAUAUUCAUAAAGUCCUUAAUAUCAUCAUUUAGGGGCAAACCAUGGUGUAUGCAUUAAACAUGAGUGAAUAUCAAACUAAAUAGGUAGUUUUCAUAAAAAUGUUAGAAAAAAAUAGCAUGUAAAGAUGCUGCCAACUAGUUUUCAAUGUGUGAAAAUAAACAAUUUGUAAGAGAAAUAGUGUCUUUUAGUCAAAUUAGAUUCUGCCCAAUAUUAUUAUUUUAAUGGAUGAAUAAAAAUGCUUUGGUGUCUGGGCAUGUAGAUUUAAAAUGAUGAUGAAAUACAGGUAUUUUAACAAUAACAAUGAAGAGAUAUUUUCAGGCCUAUAAAUCAUUAAAUAUUGAAUACCAAUUUUACAACUCAGUAAAAACAAUAGAAAUCCUUAAAAACAAGUAGUUAAAAGAGGCUUGCACUACAGUGAUUGAAAUAAUUGAUUUUUUCAUAUUUUUUUACAGUAUCUAUGAGGCAUUUCAAUUUUUGUUUUAAUUUUCAUAAUUUCUUUAUUCUUCUAAUGAGGACAUUAUUUCCCUUCUUAAACAGAGAAAACAAUUUCUUGUUUUGAAAAUUACUGUGAAAAGAACCCAUGUUUUUCAAAUAAAAUUUUUUGUGGAUCACCAUUGUAUAAAAGAAUUAAAAAUAAUAUUUAUUAUGGAAUUUAUAAUACUUAUUAUGGAAUUUAUUAUGGAAUCAUUUAGAGGCCAACCAUGGUAUAAUGCAUUAAACAUUAGUGAAUAUCAAACUAAUGUACUUUAUGAGUUCAAUAAUAUUAUAAGGGGGGUUCUAGUAAUUUACAUAUAUUAUAUUUGGGUAUAUAGCUUUUCAAAUCAUCAAAAGAAAGGGGUAGCAAACAGAUAAGCAACAGAUAACAACACCAUGCUAUUUUAGACUCUGAUGGGGUUCAACAGAACCCUGUCCCAGAACAAGGGCAGAACUACACAUGCGCAAUGCUGAUGAGAGCAAGUGCACCCGUCCCUUCCGAACGGCGGCUCUCAAAACCUAGAAGCUUCCUUCUCACAGAUGUAAUCACUGAACAAUUCCUGGUAGAUUUAACAGUUGUUUUCUUUACAUAGGUGUUUCCACCUAAGUGUAAGAUUGUUUAACUUACUUCUACUUCUCAAUUUCUUGAGUCACCAGAAAUUAAAAAUGAGAGAACCUCUAUGUAUUCAUCUAAAAAUUACUAUAUAUUUAACAUCUGUCCAACGCUGCAUU